GACGUAGGGGACGAGCGUUGUCCGGAUUCAUUGGGCGUAAAGCGCGCGUAGGCGGUUCGUCGCGUCGGCUGUGAAAUCCCGAGGCUCAACCUCGGGUCUGCAGUCGAUACGGGCGGACUGGAGUUCGGCAGGGGAGACUGGAAUUCCUGGUGUAGCGGUGAAAUGCGCAGAUAUCAGGAGGAACACCGGUGGCGAAGGCGGGUCUCUGGGCCGAUACUGACGCUGAGGAGCGAAAGCGUGGGGAGCGAACAGG
rnacentral:rRNA from 1 species